GACGCCGCAGCGGCUGCACCGGUGCGCCCGACCGCUGCUUAUUUAAUCCUGCAUCCUCUCUGGCUGCAGGCCUCCCCGUUCGCCACCCCCUACCUGUCGACUGCCGAGCUCACCUGAUCUAGGGUUUAGCGGAGUGCCCUCGCGACGUAGCGACGGGUCGAUCCAUCCAGAUAUGCAUUUGGGGGCAGCAAGCUCGAGGCAACAACUGCAUAGCUUGCAAGAGCUUGUUGGUUGAGGGUCAUACCGAUGGUGCUCUUGCAAGUUAUGCAGUUGCUGCCUCAAGCUUCCUGCCUCCCUUUGCCAGAGCUAGUAAGAUGGAAAAGCUUUCAAUUAACAUAAAUGAGAGUGACUGGACAACCAAAUGAUCUCUACUUUAGCAUAUGGAUUACAACUACAACAAAAAGAACAAAACCUCUUGCUUCGAAGGAAGUUGGGUUUUAGUAGAGUUGAAACCCAUGUACCCAACAAGAGCCAAAUAAUGAAAGAAAAUAAGAAUGCAACAAGCAAUCUGAUCCUACAGAGACAUGUAGACACAAUAUCAUUUUUGUGAGCUAUAAGCUCGUAUGAAGGCAUCUUUGGUUUGGAAACUAUUAAUGGUUCAAGAGAAAUUCUCUCCUUACAUUCUAGAAAAAAUAUGGAGUGGCUCGAUGAGCUGAUGUUCGGCGGCAGUGAGGGAUGACAGGGAGAGGCGCCUGUUGCAGGGAUGGGCACCCAUGGUGGGGAGGGGCUCAGCAGGGAUAGGGGACUGGGGGCUUGUUUUGGCUGGCGAGUGUGGGUGGGAUCUGCACUGAAGAGGGAGAGGAAUGGUGGGAAAGACAAAAAAGUAGAGGUGACCUCGAGAGUCCCUAUGAAUGAAGGGGCUUGAGGGGAGAAUUUGAGGGCCUUUUACUUUUUGGAGCCUGAUUAGGGUCCUGCUAGAGUGGGUUUUUUGCUAUCCAGCUCUCAAAGUAGUAUAGGGGUCUUGCUGGAGAUGCGCUAACACAAACUUUAUUUCUCAUCCUUGUUUACUUAUCAAAAUAUGUUUGCUCACAAGAUUACUUGAUCUGAACUUUGCUCUUUUAAACAUGUUGUAUGUACCAUUUUUAUUUAAGUUUUGUUCACUUUUGUAUUCUUCUCCUACAUACAUAAACAUGAGGAUGUUACCAUCUAACAUGAACUUAGUGUUGCAUCCUGAAAAUGUUAUAGCAUAUAAAUUGAGAAAAUUCUGAAAAUGUUAUCUAUAGCAUAGGAAUUGGGAUAUUUGUGCUGUACAUCUUGAGUAAAUUGCUCUCAGCAUAGUUGAGAAUAAUUGGUCUAAAAUGCAGCCCUGUUGGUUUGGGCUUCCUAGGAGCUUUUGGAUUUUUCAAAAGCUAAAAAGCUCCAAGAAGCCAAGUGAGCUUCUGGGCUUUUGGCUUCUAGCAGCUGUUUGGCUUUUAGAAAGUCCAAAAGUGGCCCAAAGCUCAAACAAACAGGGCGCCAAGAUGCCACUGCGAUAUAGAUAUAUUGCUCUAAGUUAUAAAUAUUUUUCACCUUUUCAAAAUAAUUUUCUUGGUGGUUUUGUAAAGUUACACCAUCUUGAAUUAUUUUGGACAAAAAUAUGGAAAAGUUGCAUUGCUUGGUGCUUGUGGGUUAAUGUUUGUUUCACUUAAAACUGACUAGUUUAUUACCACGUUCAUCCUGGUUAUGGUUGAGAUGAUCAGAACCUGGAGCCAACAAUAAUGUGUGUGUCCAGCAGAAGUUCUUGAGGAUGAAAGGUAACCAGUAUAUGAAAUGUUUGUUUCAGUUUUGUGAUUUCUAUUUGGGGUCAACAUAGUUUGAAUAUAGCAGGUGAUGCUUCAUAGCGGCUACAUUAUGCAGGUUGGAACCAUUUGCAGUUAUUACCAUGAUGUUCAUGGCCCCUGUUGUUUUUCUUAAAUCCCUAUAUCAGAAUCAAAAGGCAGGACAUGCCAGUCAAAUUUCAUGAGCUUUUGGCUUGGUCUACGCUCACACACUAUAAAUGGCAGUGUAAUAGGUUGCCUUACAAACCUAUAGCUCUUUUUUACAAGAGAUCUGCCUUUUAUAAAACCUGUGUUUAGCUACUACCUAAAGGCAGACAGACCACAUAUGGUAGCUAAACCAUAGUAAAUUUAGUCAUUUUUCUUACUCUGAUUCAGUAAUACAUGCUACCACCAAAAUAUAUAGUGAUAUGGAACAUUGAACUUGUUAACUUAUUAAUCACACAACUUUUAAUUCCAAGUGCAUUUUUGUGCUUACGCCGCCUAUGGAAGUUCUCAAAUGUAACAUUUGCAGGCAUUGUCUAAGUGAAACUUUUUGUGGGAAAAUAGUUGAGAUAUUUGAUUCAUAUCAUUAGUUAGAUCUGAACUUUUGCUGGAUGGUUCUUCUUUUGCAGCUGUGUCACUAGUUUUUUUUUCUUUGUAGUAUUGUUACAUUGUCAAGAUAUGCUCAAAACCAUAUCCUCCACCGAUAAUGUUUUGGAUGCAGUUCUUUUGGUCAAGGAAACAAAUCAGCAAGUUGCCUCUGCUGUACUGUUCAAUGCAACUGAAGUUAGAUGGUUUUUUAUACUUUAUAACGAAGAGGGACUACAAUUGUCUUCAACUGGCAGUUUGAUAAUUACACAAAUAUUUCUUUACCAACUUAAAUGUCCUCUAGAUAAUUUCUCUACUGCACUUAGUGGCUGCAGCGAUCAGAAUCAUUUGCCACAUUGAUGAUGAUAAUAUGACUAUUUUAUGGGUUUGCUAGCGAGAGUUUUUUUAACUACCCUUAAAAUUGCUCCAUGGGGAGUUGUAUCUAGGUGCUGGAGUCAACUACUAGGCUAUGGAUCCUUUUGCAUAUAUGACAACAUUGUUUGGUUCUGAUAUUAGAGUGUUUCAGAUUAUUGUUUAUGAAUUGAUAAGGCAAGGGAUGUUAUUCUUUCUAUUCAUUGGUAUGCCAUGGUGCCCUAUUUCUCAGAAGCCAAAUUUCAGCUUCUCAUUAACAAACAUCCAGAAGCUAUUUCUCCAUCUCCCCAAAUAUUGUUAGAUAACACUUGUUGCCACCAGGGUCAGUGCAGAUAAGCUCUGUAACUGCAAAGCCUAUAUUGGAGGCCAGAACAUGUUCUGAUCAAGGCAACAUUCAAGAACUGUCAAGACCUGUGUCCGGAUUUUGCUUGAUUAGUUUAUUAAGAGCUUGCCUACCACCUGAAAAUGGAGCUGUAUAUUCAAUUGAGAAUUUAAUUAUGGUUUGUGUUUUAAUUUGGCUGAAUCAACAUGUUAACAAUCUGUUUAUACCAGCAGAAAAUGCAUGUAAUCUAAUGAAUUGUGAUCAAAUUGUGGAUGUUGUUAUCCAUUUCAACAGCCUUGAGCUGCACAUUACAUUGGAAAAUAAUACUUCAUUA